rnacentral:rRNA from 1 species
GGAAUCUUCGGCAAUGGACGCAAGUCUGAUGGAGCAACGCCGCGUGAGUGAAGAAGGUUUUCGGAUCGUAAAGCUCUGUUGUAAGAGAAGAACGUGUGUGAGAGUGGAAAGUUCACACAGUGACGGUAACUUACCAGAAAGGGACGGCUAACUACGUGCCAG